GUUGUGUUUAGUGAUGACCACUCUUUCCCCGACUUAUCGACUAUGCUGAAAAAGCUUUGUAUAUUAAGCCAGUUUGUCUGAAACCACAAA